rnacentral:rRNA from 1 species
AGGACGAACGCUGGCGGCGUGCUUAACACAUGCAAGUCGAACGAAGCUGCGAGACGGAUCCCUUCGGGGGUGAAGACUUGUAGACUUAGUGGCGGACGGGUGAGUAACGCGUGAGCAACCUGCCUACAAGGAGGGGGACAACAGUUGGAAACGACUGCUAAUACCGCAUAAGACCACACUACCGCAUGGUAGAGAGGUNAAACGAUUUAUCGCUUGUAGAUGGGCUCGCGUCCCAUUAGCUAGUUGGUGGGGUAACGGCUCACCAAGGCGACGAUCAGUAGCCGGUCUGAGAGGAUGAACGGCCACAUUGGGACUGAGAUACGGCCCAGACUCCUACGGGGAGGCAGCAGGUGGGGAAUAUUGGGCAAUGGGGGAAACCCUGACCCAGCAACGCCGCGUGAAGGAAGAAGGCCUUCGGGUUGUAAACUUCUUUUAGCAGGGACGAAGAACGUGACGGUACCUGCAGAAAAAGCAACGGCUAACUACGUG